AAGGCUUAAUACCAAGUGUGGGAUCUAUCCCAAGCCAACACUUUUGGCCAAUUCUCAAAGACACAAAAUAAUAAGGUCUAGCCUUAUACAUGCCAUAUUCAAAAAUAUAAAUCCAACUAUAUCGAAUGUUUCGGCUGAUAGUGUGAUUGAUAUCUCUGACUUCCGGUAAUCCUUGAGUUAAUUAAGCGGCACUGUAAGGAAAUGGAAAGAAAAAGGGAGUAAGCAUAAAAACUUAGUAAGUUGCAUAUAAAUAAUUAUACAACAACAAAUUCAUUAAUGAUCGUCAUGCUCAUAACACAAAAAUAGGCACAAGCAUAACUUACUCGUUACCUUCCAUACAAAUCACAUAAUCUAUAUUGAGCACAUUCCUCAUACGUACCAAUUAGGUACAUGUAUCACUCACAACACGGCUAUACUUCACUUAUUAACUCACAAUCAUAGCUUUCACUGUUAAACCAUUCGGAACACUACCAGAUAUUACAUAAGCCUCAAACAAGGGGUAAAGUGUCGAUGCCAUGUCCCAAGCAUGGUCUUACACUAACUCUCGCAUAUCUGUGCCGAUGCCAUGUCCCAGACAUGGUCUUAUACUGACACAUCUCAUAGCCGAUGCAUGUCUCAGACAUGUCUUACACUGGCUUACAUCUCGAGCCCGAUGCAUGUCCCAAACAUGUCUUACACUAGCUCUCAUCUCAAUGCCGAUGCCAUGUCCCAAACAUGGUUUUACACUAGCUCACAUAAUAUGGCCGAUGCAUGUCCCAGACAUGUCUUACACUAGCUCACACAAGUGACCCUAAUGUUAUGGCAUGAAUAUCCGGUUUAUUUCGUAUGUUCAACGGGAACCCUACUAUCUCUAUUAUUAUUAUACUUUCCAAUUCCAAAAUCAAGCAGUUCAUGUUAUAUUAAUUCAAAUACAAUUCAGCACAUACAUUAUUAAUGUGGUUUUAGUAUUUACAUACAACUUACCUCGGAUUACAAAAUACACACGACAAGUCAGUUUAGUCGAUUUGCUUGGCUUUUCCCCGAUCUAGGUUCGGAUUUGGAAAAUCUUGAUCUAUAUUAGUAAAAUACACUCAUUUAGUCACUAAAAAAAAUUAUGCAAUCCAAAAUUUAUGUCUUAGGUAAAAUGACCAUUUUGCCCCUAGACCUUGACAAAAUGACCAUUUUGCCCCUAUGCUCGAAAGUCAAUUUUUAUCGAAUUUUUUCGUAUUUCAAGCCUAGAUGAACUUUUUUUACUCUUAUAGAAACCCCAAAUUCUCACUAUUUCACACAGUUAUCACCUAUUUUGCAACUUAUGCAAAAUAGUCCCUUUAGGUGUUUUCAUGCUAACAUCUUUCACAAAAGUUGUUUAUAACACAACUAAGACUCAUAUUCUUCCAUAAAAACUCAGAAAAUAUCACAAAUUCAUUAAUGGAAAAACCCUAGACUCUUGUUUAUUAUGUACAAUAAUCUUCUCAUUUGAAAGCUUAUGCUUCAAGGAGUCCAAAAAUGUAAAAAUCAUUAGGAGAAACUAUCAAAAUCACUUACUUGAGAGGGCUUAAAGUUGCUAAAUUUUUUUUUAAGCUUUCAAACCCCAACAAUGGCUGAUUUUCGGUCAAAGAGGAGAAAAAUAGAUGAAGAAGGUGAAUACUAGGCUUUAGUGUAUUAUUAAAAUACAUAUUAUGACAUCAACCAACCUAACCCUUUGACCAAUUACCCAUUCUUGUCUCAUGGCUGGCCAAGCUCUUCUAAUAGGGUUUAAUUGCCCUUUAAAAUCUCUCAAUUUUGAUUCUCUAACAAAAUAACACCUUUAGCAAUCAAUUUAGGACUUUUACACUUUAUGUGAUUUAGUCCUUUUUCGCAAUUGGGCUCACAAACGUCAAAAUUAACUUACCAAAUUUUUCAUGCACUAAUAUGUUUAUGCCAGAACAUCAAAAUAAUAAUAAAAUAAUCUUUUUGACUUCAGAUUUGUGGUUCCGAGACCACUGUUCUGACUAAGCCCUAGAUCUUCUGUUACAAAAGAAGCACUCAGUCGUCACUUUCGCUUGCAACUCUGCAGCCAAAUGUGAAGAAAAAAAAAAGAAAAAGGAAAAAAAAGGCUGCAACUCUACAACCAAAGAGUUUUAUUUUCUUAAAACGUAAAGAAAAAGAGAAAGAAUGGAAGAUGAUGGCUUCAAUCAAUUGACCUCGGUCUCAUCUGCAGCCAAAGGAAAAAAAAAAGGAUGCGUAGAGAUGGAAAGGAAAGAAGGUUACCAACGUUUUCAUCCUUUGGAUAAAUGGGAGAGCAAAAAUUGAAAAUGAGAAAAAAAAUUGCCUAUU
rnacentral:lncRNA from 1 species